ensembl:snoRNA LOC120101308 small nucleolar RNA SNORA17
CCUGCCCCUAGAGCCAUUACAGGGAUGGCAGCUGUGUCACAUGUGCGUCAGUAGGUGGCAGAGAGGAGAGAGGCUAUGUCUAUACUCAGGCUGUGAGCAUCUGAAUAAUUAGUACUCCAACAUU